GCAGCAGCCACGGGAAUACGUAGGUGGCAAGCGUUGUCCGGAAUUAUUGGGCGUAAAGGGCUCGCAGGCGGUUUCUUAAGUCUGAUGUGAAAGCCCCCGGCUCAACCGGGGAGGGUCAUUGGAAACUGGGAAACUUGAGUGCAGAAGAGGAGAGUGGAAUUCCACGUGUAGCGGUGAAAUGCGUAGAGAUGUGGAGGAACACCAGUGGCGAAGGCGACUCUCUGGUCUGUAACUGACGCUGAGGAGCGAAAGCGUGGGGAGCGAACAGGAUUAGAUACCCCCGUAGUCCCUGUCUCUUAUAC
rnacentral:rRNA from 1 species